AAGUCGUAACAAGGUCUCCGUUGGUGAACCAGCGGAGGGAUCAUUACUGAGUGUUACAACUCCCAAACCCUUUGUGAACCUACCCUGUUUCCUCGGCGGCUCCGACGCGGGCCGCCGGGGGCACCAAACUCUGGCUUCUUUCAGUGGUAUUCUCUCUGAGUGGCACAAGCAAAAAAUAAUCAAAACUUUCAACAACGGAUCUCUUGGUUCUG
rnacentral:misc_RNA from 1 species